rnacentral:tRNA from 1 species
GAGGGUAUAGCUCAGUGGUAGAGUGGAUGCCUAGCAUGCAUAAGGUCCUGGGUUCAAUCCCUAGUCCCUCCA